rnacentral:ncRNA from 1 species
UGAUAGAGGCGCGAAAAACAUCAGUAUCGGAAAACAGGAAUUAAAUUUCCAAGGCGGGCGGCCGUUUUCCGUGAAAGGGUUUUUUGCCGAAGUCUUUUACGUCUGCCCGGACGCAGGGGGCUGGGAUGAUGCAGAAUAUGCAGCAUACUGUCACUUAUGUGGAGAGCUAUCGA